UACAGAGGUCUCAAGCGUUGUUCGGAAUCAUUGGGCGUAAAGGGUGUGUAGGUGGCAGUGUUAGUCGGUUGUUAAAACCUGGGGCUCAACCCCAGAUCCGCGACCGAAACGGCACAGCUAGAGGAUGGCAGGGAUGUAUGGAACUCAUGGAGUAGGGGUGAAAUCCGUUGAUAUCAUGGGGAACACCAAAAGCGAAGGCAGUACAUUGGGCCACUCCUGACACUGAAACACGAAAGCGUGGGUAGCGAAUGGG
rnacentral:rRNA from 1 species